CAGUAGCCGCGGUAAUACGAAGGGUGCAAGCGUUACUCGGAAUUACUGGCGUAAAGCGUGCGUAGGCGGUUUGUUAAGUCUGUUGUGAAAUCCCCGGGCUCAACCUGGGAAUGGCAAUGGAUACUGGCAAGCUAGAGUGUGUCAGAGGAUGGUGGAAUUCCCGGUGUAGCGGUGAAAUGCGUAGAGAUCGGAAGGAACAUCUGUGGCGAAGGCGACUAUCUGGGCCAACACUGACACUGAGGCACGAAAGCGUGGGGAGCAAACAGGAUUAGAUACCCGCGUAGUCCCUGUCUCUUAUACA
rnacentral:rRNA from 1 species